GGGAUAUGAUCACAUCUGGGAUUCGGGGAAGUCCCUCUCCAGGCAGCUGGAGGAUCUGAGUCCCUGGCCAACCUCAGCACUGAGAAGGGCCGCUCAGCGGGGCUAGAGUUGAGCCGCCGCUGUGCAGCACAGAACAGGGUGGGGCAGGAGCUGGGGCAGGGCCUGGCUGGGAGGGAGCCAGGCAGUGCAGGAGCCAUCCCCUGCCACACUUUCAGUCCAGGGCAGAAGCACAGGAGGCCAAUGCUGGACCUCUCCCCAGGCAUGGUCAGCAGGGAAGGUGCAGCAGGAGGACCAGGAACGGGAGGCUUGGGUGCUUACAUGGCUCCUUGAUGUGUGGGCCUUGAGGUUUCGCUGGAGGGGAGGAUGUGGAGCCAGGAGGGGAUGAAGGACUGCAGGCCGAAGUGAGUGCCAGGAGCAGGGGCUGGGGGGCUACAUGGGUGGGUUGGGGACCAUGCAGGGCAGAGAUCAGCGGAAGGGUGACCUGAAUAUUGGCCGGCGGUCGUGGUCUGUGAGCUGAGGAGGCUCAGGUAGCUGGAACGGGAGCCCCUGCUUGACCCUUCGGGCUGGUAGGGGCAGUGGCUGCAGCCCCUUGGGAGUCAGGGUGUCCUGGUUUCUUCUCAGCCAGGUGAUAGAGGAUGCAAGCCACAGGAAUUCCCAUAGCCUUUGUGUGUGUGUCUGUCUUCUACCUGGGAAAGAGUAAAAAUACUUUCCUGUUCUUUUCUUGUAAAAGUUCAUUAAGGGGCCGGAUGCAGUGGAUUAUGAAUUCCAGAACUUUGGGAGGCUGAGGCAGAUCACCUGAGGUCAGGAGUUCGAGACCAGCCUGGUCAGUAUGGUGAAACACCAUCUCUACUAAAAAUACAAAAAUUAGCUGGGUGUAGUGGCACACACCUGUAAUCCCAGCUACUUGGGAAGCUGAGACAGGAGAAUCGCUUAAACCCUGGAGGUGGAGGUUGCAGUGAGCCAAGAUCGUGCAUCGCACUCCAGCCCGGGCGAUAGAGUGAGACUCUCAAUCAUUAUCAAUCAAUCAGUAAAGCUGAUGAAAAUAAAAAAGCCUGCAAAUUAAUAUUAAUAUGGGCACCCAGGUCUCCUUAAAUUUAGAAUCCUUUCCUCAAAAGUCCCCCUGUUGAUACAGAAACACUUCUGAAGCCAAAUGUGAAGCACCAGUUGACCCGCAGGUGGGGGUGCCGACUGGUAGGCUGUAGGGUUAGCUCUGGCCUCUGGCAGCCAGUUGUCUCCUGAGAAAAUACUGUGGCGUGAAUGCAAAAUGUGAUUCAUCACUUGGCUCCUAAUUUCUUUUGAUUUUGUCCCCUAGAGCAAGGUCCGUGGUCCUGUCAGUGGAAGCCCGGAUAGCAUGAAUGCCUCUCGACUUAGCCAGCCUGGGCAGCUGAUGUCUCAGCCCUCCACGGCCUCCAACAGCUUACCUGAGCCAGCCAAGAAGAGUGAAGAACUGGUGGCUGAAGCACAUAACCUCUGCACCCUGCUAGAAAAUGCCAUACAGGACACCGUGAGGGAACAACACCAGAGUUUCACGGUAACAGCUUGUGUGAGCCUCCUGCGAUUCCAUGUCCUUUCUUU
rnacentral:sRNA from 1 species